rnacentral:lncRNA from 1 species
AGAGCCGCGCGAUUGAGACUUGGCGGAGGAGCGUUAGGCCGGGGCGCUCACUCAUGAGGAGCAGGAAGGUGAGGGGCCCCCGCAGGCGGGGUGCGCGCCGCCGAGCCGCACUCUCCCAGGGGAGCCGGCGGGGGGCGGGCGCCUCGAGCCCCGCCCCUGGGAGGGGAACCCGCACUCCAGGCACCUCCACCCGCCCCAGGCGCGGGGCUCCAGGCUCGCUCCCCGGGGUGAGGGCCACCGGGACCCGAGCUUUGCCCUCGGCCGUGCGGGCUACUGCCCGGGCUUCCUGGCCUCUCGCACUGCCCACAGAUGGGCGUGCUGCAGCCGAGCGAGCUCAGCCAAGCCCCUGUGUCGUGUGUAACCUGGGCUGAGGGCGGGCAGUGGGACGGGAGCUAGGGUGACUGGGACCUAAACCCCGGCUGCAAAGGGUCUCUGGCCGAACGAGCAUGGCAGGGACAGUGAGUCCCUUAGCCUGAAGUGUGUCUGCCCUGCACCGCUAGCCAAAGUCCAGGCUGACGUCCCUGCCUCUUGCGUUGCGCAGACGUUUGUGUGUAGCGAGGCUGACAAUAACUGUUCCCCGUGUCAGUGGUCAUGGUUGCUGCCCCUCCCUUGCAUAAGGAGACUUUAUUAAGGUUUAAUAGUUCCCCGCUGUGUUUUUUACUUCUUUGCGCGCCUCGGUUCCAGUGAGACACAGAAGGGUCUAACUCUUGUGAGGUUCUCUCCCACUUUCCGUUAGCUGUCUGUUGACAGUGCAGCCUUGCAAUCCUUACUUUACCCUUUGCAGCCACUUCCUCAGGCCAGCAAGGGCCCCUCGGACCCUCCCCCUUUGUUUGUUCCUGCCUGUUGCUAGCACGUGCCUCUUUUGCCUGUUCAGAGAAGUAUGUUUAAGAUAAUUUUAUGUUAGGGACUUUCCUUGGGGGUCGAGGGUGCCCUUUGUACCUGGAUUACUGAUUGGGUCCUUAGCUUCAGCUAGAACUCCCGGUGGUUCUAAAGCAACACCCCCUCCCCCCUCCACACACACACCCAUUUGCAUCUGGAAAUUCCUUUAUUCUCACCUUCAUCUUAGAGGACAGGUUUUCUGGGUAUGGAUUUUCUUAGCUGGCAUUUUGUUUCGUGCAGGUAGUGAUCUCACCGUGGUUCACAUACUGUUUCUGCAGAAUAAGCAGUUGUUUUUUACUGGUACCUCCAGGAUGAGAACUGCCCCGGGAGGUGGCCUGGCCAUGUGUUUAUUAUCCUCUCCCUCCUGUGUCACAAACUUCCCAGUCACAGGUUAUUGUUUUCAACGAACAGGAGGCUUUCAACCAUUCUGUCUUCAAAUACUUUUUUCUGCUUUUUCUACUUUCUGGUUGUCCCUUACAUGUAUGUGUGCUGGUGUGUGAGUUAAGGCCAGCCUAGGCUACCUAGGAAGUUCUAGGUCAGCUGGGGCAAUAAGAUAUGUGACACAGUUGUGUGUGAUGGCAACAGGCUGUGACCCCAGCACUCGGGAGGCUAAGACAGAUGUAUUUUAUAUUCAAGACCUAGCAGAGUAACUUAAUGAAAUUGACAAAAAAGAAAAAGACAGGCAGGCAGGCAGAGGUGGGGCUGGGAGUGCAUGAAACUCCCGAGCAGAGCAGCGUAAGCCAGGUGUGAAGCUCACAUUUGUAAUCCCAGCACUUGGGAAACACGGGCAGUUUCAGGAGGGCAAGGUUCUCAUUAGCUUCACAGCAAGAUAAGAGGCCAGCCUGGGACACAUAAGACCCCAUACU